AUUAUGCUGACUAAGUCAAUAUUGACGACGAUGACGAUGAUGAUGAUGGUGAUGAUGAGGGUAAUGACAUCAACGAACGACAACGUUGAUAGGCAUUCAGUGCCAGAUUCUCAUUGUCAGUCAAACGGCAGCUCACACAAUUGUCCUCUUUCGUUUCUCUCUCUCUGUCAACAUUAAUUACCAAGACGGGCCGCGUUGGAAUGAGAGUUGGGUUGGAGAGAAAGAGAAGGGGAAAGAGGCAGAUAGACAGGAGAGAGAGAGAGGGGAAGAAGGAGAGGAGAGGGAGAGAUAAAGCGAAGAGAGAGAGAGAAAAGAGCAACGGAACAAUGGCUGAGAGAGCGGCGGCUGAGCAGGAACUAUCGGAAUGGUAAACAAUAUAAAUACAUUGUUGCUGGGCGUGCACCAUGGGAACGGUAAUAUGGUGAAACGGAGAUAGAAAGAGAGAGUAGAGUAGGAGGAAGUAACAAGAAGAGCGAUAGAGUGAUGAAGGGAAGGAGAGAGCGAGAGAAAGGGAAAGGGUGGUAGGUCUAAGGAAAGAGUGCGCGCGCGUGUGGUAUACACACACACACACACACUAUAUCAGAGAGAGAGAGAGAGAGAGGUGGAGGGAGAGAGAGAGGGAGAGAGAAAGAGAGAGGACUAGCUGGAGGUAUGCAAGCUACUUGCUGAUGAAGGCGGUGGCGGCGACGACGGCCGUUAAUUACAUGAAGGAAUAAGCUACAAGUUCAUGGGAGUUUGCAGUGUUUAGCGCCUGAUUCUUGCACUCUGAGUACGCGCGCGCGCGUGUGUGUGUGUGCACCUACAUACACACAUAUGUACAUGCAUGUGUAUAGAUAUAUGCAUGUGUGUAUAUAUAUACGUGUGUGUGUGUAUAUAUGUGUUUAGUGCGUGUGUGGACUCUUUUGGAUGAGGAGUUGGAAACGGUCUGUGUUCCUGUGAUGGGCGAAACCCCGCGCUGCCACCAUCCAGUUCUUUAGAUGAACAUUACGUCUCCAUCGAUACAUAUAUAUACACACUCACACAUGUAUAUAUAUUAUAAAUAGACAUUAUAUAUACAUCUUAUAUAUUAAACACAUCUACUUGCACAUACAAAACACACUUAAGAUUUCUUAACUAUAUUCUGCAGACGACAUUUUACCAAGAAGGAUUUAUAAACACACCUCUAUCGGCAAUAAUAAAUGAAAUGCAAUCAUUAAUUGAUACUUUAAUGAUGUUGACAUUAACCACGACGACGAUGGCAACAUUAUCAUGAUGACGACGAUGAUGAUGAUGGUGGUGGUUGUUAUUGAACGACCUCCUCUGCUCUCAUAGUUUUUUUUACUUGGCUGCCAUGUUGAUUAGUACGACUUAGCUCUCACAUUAAACUGAAUAAACAACCAGACACACACCAUUACAAGAAGAGUUCUACCAAAAUCUGUCCCAAUGGCUGAAAGUGAAGAACUUG